GGUUGAUUUCAGCAGGAUCAGUGCAGGAGAUUAUCAUCUUUACCAUCUUCAUGAUGCCAUCCAUCAGCGUCACUCAGGUUUUCCUGCUGUUUUCCUUCCUCCACCUCAUCACAUCACUUCCUGUCAGGGACCAGGAUGAAGUGGAAGAAUUCCUGACUCAAAUCAGACCCCUGAACGCACCAUGGUCUCUGUCAGCAAAUUCUGCAGAUGCUCUGGUUGAGGCCAGACUCAGGCAGCUGAUGUCUUCAGGUCUAGACCGCAGGAGGCAGCUGGGAGACAUCGAGUUCUCAAACAGAUACUCAGAGUUUCUGCGCUCUAAAGCCAAACACACCUCAAUCUGUGCUUUUCUGCGCCGCAUGCAAGGCAUAAAGAAGAGUGCGGUGGGAGCAGACACGGAGAAAGUGAAUCUGCUGCUGAAACAGUACAUGUGUCCAUCUGUCUACAACAACUGGCCCACCGACCUGUAGAAGACUCAGUGAGAUGAGGAGAUCCAAUGUGAUGUUAGUUGGAAAAUGUUGGAAACUGAUGAUCUGAAUAAAUGUGUGUAAAUGCAGCUGUUAUCUUAUUUAGUGUGGGAACACAUCACUUUGUUAUUAAAUAUGUUUUAUGAAGUACUUUUCAGUGACUAGUGUGUUUCAUAAUUAUGUGCAGGAUUUGAUAUUUGUGCAUACAAGAAUGCAUUGUGCUGCAAUAACUUGUCCUGAAGGUGGCGCUAAAUGAAAACUUAAAGGCUCAUGUCAGGGUUUUGAAGUC
ensembl:lncRNA